CAGUAGCCGCGGUAAUACAGAGGGUGCAAGCGUUAAUCGGAAUUACUGGGCGUAAAGCGCGCGUAGGUGGUUUGUUAAGUUGGAUGUGAAAGCCCCGGGCUCAACCUGGGAACUGCAUCCAAAACUGGCAAGCUAGAGUACGGUAGAGGGUGGUGGAAUUUCCUGUGUAGCGGUGAAAUGCGUAGAUAUAGGAAGGAACACCAGUGGCGAAGGCGACCACCUGGACUGAUACUGACACUGAGGUGCGAAAGCGUGGGGAGCAAACAGGAUUAGAUACCCCGUAGUCCCUGUCUCUUAUACA
rnacentral:rRNA from 1 species